UACGAAGGGGGCGAGCGUUGUUCGGAUUUACUGGGCGUAAAGGGCGCGCAGGCGGUCUUGAAAGUCAGGCGUGAAAGCCCCGGGCUCAACCUGGGAACCGCGCUUGAGACUGGAGAACUAGAGUUCGGGAGAGGAUGGUGGAAUUCCCAGUGUAGAGGUGAAAUGCGUAGAGAUCGGGAGGAAGGCCGGUGGCGAAGGCGGCGCUCUGGAACGUUACUGACGCUGAGACACGAAAGCGUGGGGAGCAAACAGG
rnacentral:rRNA from 1 species